CUAGACCAUGCAGUAACUGCCAUGUCCAGUUGUUUCCUGAACAUUCUAUUGCAUGGUGACUUCACCACUUCCCUGGGCAGUCCAUUCCAAUGCCUGACAGCCCCUGAAGAAAUUCUUCCCCAUGUCCAACCACAACCUCCUCUGCUGCAGCUUGAGAUGAUGCCCUCUUGUCCUGCCACUGGUUGCCUGGGAGAAGAGGCCAAUCCCCACUUGGCUGCAGCCUCCUUCCAGGCAGCUCUAGAGUGAGAAUGUCUGAGCCUCCUCCCCAGGCAAACCACCCCAGCUCCCUCCUCAGAUGCUCUUCAUAUGGGUGCUGGACCACAGAUGCAGAUAAGCACUUUGGAGUCUCUUCUGCUUCUUUUCACAAACUCAGACAGAAGAGAUGAAGAAAUCUUCCCCUGUUUACCUACCCAGUCUUUUGAUGGUUGUGAAAGAAUGAAUUGAACCUGAAACCUGCUUGUGUGUCAAGAAUUCCACAUACCUGAGACAGAUAACUUCAGUCAGAGCAAAAUUCAGCAGCUUAACCAUUGGUGUGAAACCUGUG